rnacentral:rRNA from 1 species
CAAUAGCGUAUAUUAAAGUUGUUGCAGUUAAAAAGCUCGUAGUUGGAUUUGUGGCGUACGGUGUGUUCCGGGCACUUGUUGUCUGAGUAACCUGCUGUUGCCAUCCUUGGGUGGAACCUGUGUGGCAUUAGGUUGUCGUGCAGGGGAUGCCCAUCAUUUACUGUGAAAAAAUUAGAGUGUUCAAAGCAGGCUUAUGCCGUUGAAUAUAUUAGCAUGGAAUAAUGAGAUAGGACUUUUUUGCUAUUUUGUUGGUUUGCGCAAAGAGGUAAUGAUUAAUAGAGACAGUUGGGGGUAUUCGUAUUCCAUUGUCAGAGGUGAAAUUCUUGGAUUUUUGGAAGACGAACUACUGCGAAAGCAUUUACCAAGGAUGUUUUCAUUAA